AUAUAUGGAAGAACACCAGUGGCGAAGGCGGCCGCCUGGCCUGUUGCUGACGCUGAGGCACGAAAGCGUGGGGAGCAAAUAGGAUUAGAUACCCUAGUAGUCCACGCCGUAAACGAUGAGGACCAAGUGUUGGGGGUGAAACCUCAGUGCUGAAGUUAACGCAGUGAGUCCUCCGCCUGGGGAGUAUGCACGCAAGUGUGAAACUCAAAGGAAUUGACGGGGGCCCGCACAAGCGGUGGAGUAUGUGGUUUAAUUCGAAGCAACGCGAAGAACCUUACCAGGCCUUGACAUGGGAUGCGAAGACGCAGAGAUGCGUUGGAGGCAAACAUCCACACAGGUGGUGCAUGGUUGUCGUCAGCUCGUGUCGUGAGAUGUUGGGUCAAGUCCCGCAACGAGCGCAACCCUUGUGGCAUGUUGCUAACAGGAAAGCUGAGGACUCAUGCCAGACUGCCGGUGACAAACCGGAGGAAGGCGGGGAUGACGUCAAAUCAUCAUGCCCCUUAUGGCCUGGGCUACACACGUACUACAAUGGCGGCUACAAAGAGCGGCGAGACAGUAAUGUCGAGCGAAUCUCACAAAAGCCGUCCCAGUUCGGAUUGGAGCCUGCAACCCGGCUCCAUGAAGUUGGAAUCGCUAGUAAUCGCGGAUCAGCAUGCCGCGGUGAAUACGUUCCCGGGCCUUGCACACACCGCCCGUCAAG
rnacentral:rRNA from 1 species